GUUCACUCCUUUUUUUCAGUAACCGCUUUGGAAUUCGUACCAAGGUGCCAGACAACAUAGUUGACACACAUUACGAUCCUCUUUAAUCUUCAUAACCCCUGGAGGCCCAUCAGACCUUCCUGUUGAAGGCCUUGGAGAACUGACUGCAAUUUCCAGUUUGAAAUUAAGCCAAGUGAAGGCUUCGGCAAUAACAGCAACAAGCCUGGUCUCUCUGGGUCUUCUCUAGCAAUUGCACUUCUCACUAUUUCAUUGGAAACAGAGGUGACAUUUCAUGUCAGCCAAGACACUGAAGUCUUACGAUAUUCUGACUCCUCUCCACCCACAAUGCUGCAGCUUUGCAUCAUGACGUGGUGACGACAGAUCUCAGGAAUGUGCUGCAAUUAGACCUGGAAGACAGCCUGAGCCUGCUGCUUGGAGCCUGGGGACCUGUACCUCCCUCCACCAAACUUUUGAGCCCCCACCUCACUCCCUGUCCUGUGCUCAAGAAUGGCUCUUCUUGUAUGCUUAGAAUAGCAACUUGGUAAACUUGGCUUUGUCUUUCUGUCUUAGGCAGCUUCUGGGAAGUGCGGAGUCUCAGCAAGGAGACAGAAUUUCUUGACUCUAGGUGAAGCAGUAAGGGACAGUAGGCCAAAGAUUAAAGUCCUAGUGGUUGAGCAAAGCUGAAAGCAACUUUCUUAGCAGCCCAGGAUAGAGACUAGGGGCCUCCACCUUCUGUUCUCCUCCCAUCCUGCCCACCCCCAUUUUUUCAUUUGUUCUUAUUAGUUAGAUAUGAUAGUAGAAUGUAUUUUGACAUAUUAGACAUAUAGGAAGAAUAGCUUCUCAUUUUUCUGGUUGUACAUGAUGUAGAAUUACAUUGGUCAUGUAAUCGUAUAGGAGAGUAAUGUCAGAUUCAGUCUAUCAUCUUUCCUAUUCCCCUUCCCCUUCCCUUUUCUUUUGGUAGAGCCAGUGCAACACAGUAACGAUAACCUCCCAGUCACUGAGCCUUCUAGACCCAGCACAGAAUCGAAUUAACAGUUGUAAGUCUCUCAAGGGCUCAGUGAGAUCAGUAUCACUCACUGUAAUUUACAGAAAAGGAAACUGAGAUUCUGUCACUUGACAACUUGCUAUGUUCCCAGCAAUGCAAGGAAGCAUAUCCACAGAGCUUUGAUCCUGAAGUUCCUAUCCUCUUUUUUAUGUUCUUCAUGUCUAUAUAUCUAUUUUUUUAAUCCAUGAUACAAAGUUGAUACAUUGCACUUCACUUUUAUGUCAUUUUUGUCUUUCCUAAUUUAGAAGAGUUGAUCUGAAGUUCGUCUUCUGAACUGCUAUUUAAAACAAGUUGCUUUGAACAAUAGCAAAGGUAAGGGGCUGGGGAUGUGGCUCUAUGGUUGAGCACUUGCCAAGCAUGCAUGAGGCUGUGGGUUGGAUCCCAGCUCAGCAUAAAUCAUACCUGGAUGCAUACAAACAUAUUUUAUGCGUAUUAUGUAUGUAUGUCUUCCUGGCAAUUUGUACCUUUCCAAUGGUUCUUUUGGCUUUGGGAGACACAGAAGCAGCAAAAGGGUAGAAUCAAAAGACCAGAGGAACAACUUUGGGUAAGGUUCAGAAGACAUGUUGGGCCACUUGUAGAGAAUGAGACAAAGUAAGAUGUUAAAGUUCUUGAGUUGAAGUUUUUUCAUAAUUCAGCAUGUUUCAGGCACCAUUCUAAGUACCUUUCUCAUAUUUCCCUUCAUUUGAAUCCUCCCAAUCAUCCUACGAGGCAGUUUGACUCUAAAAUGUUUCUUAUUUCACCCACAUGAAGCAAAUGGUUCUCAGUAACCUGACUAGUAAGUGGCAUAACAGAGAUUUCCACUGCCCUCCUGGGGCUGUUGCCCAUUGUAUAUCAAGUGCCUCUCACCCUGACAAAACCAAAUCGGGAACCAUGUUACUUUUAAGACUAGUUUUCUGAACUGUAUUUGUCUGACCUUCACUGAACCCCUUUCCUGAAACCCUUGGUGGGUUUAUCUAAGUGGAGUGAGAAUACAGUCCUGAAUUCAUUGUGCUGACUUUACAACCUAAGCCCACACCCUCCUUCCGACCACACACAUGCAGUACACUCACGCAUGGCUAACACACAACCACACAUAUAUCCAGUGACAUAUCUUAAGGUUAUAUGUGCUGGGCGUUUUGCAAAAUUGACCCUUCAGCAAACAAGAAUACCAGAAAUCUCCAUUUACCGUCAUCCAAGCCAGGGAGCUCAUGGAUCCUAAAGGCAGUGUUAGAAUACCCAAGGAUCUGUCUAUACACUUUUCUUUUGUUAAUUCCUUUAAUUUAGAACAAUUGUUGCCUAACUAUAAAAAUUACCAUGUAGAGAGUUGCAUGCAUUAAACCAAAGGGUAGCCAUGAACAUGAUGGUCACAGAGGGCUCUGCUUCCCCUGUGGCUACCCAAUCAAAACAUCCCAGUUGAGCACCCCAGAUGAGUCCCCACUGAGAGCCGGCUCAUUGUCAAAAUGCUUCCAGGAUUUAGAAGUUCCCCAACCACCUCCUUCUCCUGUGUCCUUCACUCCAAUUCUGGAGGUAGCCAGUCUGACCCCACAAGGCUUGUUAAAGUAAAUUAAAAUAGAGAUACCAGGCCUGAAGAAUUCCUGAGCACACUAAGCCAGGUGUUAAGCCUCUAAGUGACCUCCACCUUACUUGUUUGAAAAUAGAAGCAAAACAACUUGAGUGUUCCAUGUAAAUGUCUGUAUAAAAGAAAAAGAGGACUUACGUUCAGCCAAUCAGUGGGCAUCAAAACAAAACAAAACAAAACAAAACCUAGGGACUUUCCAAUGGGAUGGACCAUUUACAAUAAUUCUAUAACCAUAACUAAUCAGAUAUUUCCUUUAUAUCCUAUUCAUGCUACAAAAGCCUUCCUGCCAUGAAGAAACGAAACAAGCCCAUCCCAUUUUCAGUUUGAAGCUGAGUCACGGUUUUCUCAAAUAACUCAAAUAUUGUGCCUCACUUUACCUUAUUAACAGGUGGCAUAUUGAUGCACCCAUUUCAUUGAUGGUGACUGUGGCACAGGGAACAACCCCAUUUGAAGUCAGAGGAUGCUAACCCCUCCGAGCUGUCCUGAAAUACAGUAGCAGAUUGCAUCAUGCAGCAUUGUACCAUGAGAGACUCAAAUGGCUGCUAGGCAAAUGGCAGCCUGAGGAUUUAAGAGCUCUUUAAAGGAAAUACAAAUAUGUGCCAUGGAAAUGGCUGAGAACACAUUCAGCUAAAUAAACAGCAGUAGGUAGGCUUUUUAGUUUCUAAAGCACAGUGUCUUCUUGAAUAUUUUCCCAUUCUAUCUCCAAGUAGUUUAUUUAAUCCAAGUUGGUCAGUGCAGAUGUUCUACCACACCCUCGGGUGGAUUUUAAUAACAUAGGUAUUAGUAGCUCUGUGUCUGCAGAGCAUGACCUUUUUGGAACCCACCCGCCUGGCUUUGCAUUCUUGCCUCUUUCAGGCACGAGCCUGUGCCCAUGGUGAAGUUCACAUCAUCUCUGUGUGCACCACAGAGAAUCCUCAUCUCUACAAUGGGGACAGCAAUGGAAUCUAUCUUUUGAGUUUGUUAUGAGGAUUAUAGUAGUUGAUCCAUGUGAAGAUCCUGGAAUAGGACCUUCACACACUAAGAAUCUUGCCAGCAUUAUCUCCUGUACCAUCAAAAGGGGAAAAUCAUCAUGAUGGGGGUCACUGAACAAGAUAUAGAUUUCGUUUGAGAUUUAAAAAAGAAAAUUGUAUCGCAUGGAGUGGACAAGAAUGAAGUUUUAGAUCAGACAAACCUCAGUCUGUGUCUUGGAUCUGCGUCCUAUUGGAGUUGACAUUUAUAUAACUUCUCUAAGCCUCAUUUUCCUUAUCUGUUAAAAAAAAAUGCCCACAGUAUGAGGAUUAGUGAAUGGAAACCACAGGAGGAGGCGGUGGCAUUCCUCAGAGCCUGGGAGUCUGGGUUCAGACCCUCAGCCUCUUCCUACCUAUGUGACUGCUAGAGUUUGGAUCUUUAAUGCCACCCCCCAGGCCCAUGUGUUCAAGCCUUGGCCCCCAGGCUGGCACUACAAGGAGGUACUAGAACAUUGAGGGGGAGGAGCUAAUGCCAGGUCUUUGGGUUAUUUAGGAUAUGUCCUUGAAGGGGGCUGUGAGAGGAUGGCCCACUGUUCUUCCUCUGCUUCACUUUCUGGCCCUAGGAGAACAGACCAGCUCCAUUACUUGGUCCUGUUGGACAGUGGUGCCUUGCUGUGGGCCUGAGGGAAAGAGGCCACUCCAUCAGCCAUGGGUGACUGGAACCGCUGAAACUGUGAGCCAAGGACAGAGAGAGAGAGAGAGAGAGAGAGAGAGAGA